UGGAUUGAGACAAUGUACAAAUGUUAUCGAUAAACAAUUGGAGGGCAAGUCUGGUGCCAGCAGCCGCGGUAAUUCCAGCUCCAAUAGCGUAUAUUAACGUUGUUGCAGUUAAAAAGCUCGUAGUUGAAAUGUGGGAUGAAGUAUAUAAUGAAUUUCUAAUUCAAUUAUAUAUUGAUUCCCCUCUCCAAUUUAUUAUUAUGGGUAUUAAUUUAUUUGUAAUAAGAAUUGGUCAUUUACUGUGAGAAAAUUAGAGUGUUCAAAGCAGGCAUUUGCUUGAAUAGAUUAGCAUGGAAUAAUACUAAAAGGCUUUUAUGGUCGAUUUAAUUGGUUUGUUCAUAAAAGCAAGAUUAAAAGGAACAGUUGGGGGUAUUCAUAUUCAAUAGUUAGAGGUGAAAUUCUCGGAUUUAUGGAAGAUGAAAGUGCCCCAAAAAAAAAAUUUAUUGUCCCUUACCUCCAAAUUUU
rnacentral:rRNA from 1 species